AAGGCGAGCACCGGGUAAGCCGGGGCGUGGCGCCGGCGGCUCCUCCAUUGCGGUGCCCAAUGGGCUGGAGGCCGUGAGCAUCGAGAGCAAGGGCUGCCUGAGCAGCGGACGGUGAAGAGACAGAUGGGACAUCGUUGGAACGCAGGCCCAAGGAGAGGCCCCGUGCAGCUCUCUUCAGGGACCAUCCCGGGGUGCUCGACCUGUCCCUGCAAGAAGAACACCCAUCACCACCAAUCUCUUCAUGCGUCUGCCACUGGCCACCUUUCCUACCCACCACCAGCCCAACCUGCUUCCUCCCCACACAUCUUGGCCUUGUGGCACUCCUAGCCCCACACUGUGGCCAUGCUGCAUCCUUCUAUCUGUCCUGUAUCAUCUUCUGCUUCUCCACUGGUAUGUGGAGCAUGGGCAGACUGUGCCUGGUCCCUCCUCCAGGCCUUUGCUUCCCUGGCUUUUCCCAGCUGGCUCCCACAUGUACACAGCUGUGCAGAUCCUUCCCAAAUAACAGCCUUCAUCCUGUGGGAUGGAAUAAACCUCCUUUCCACACACAGACUUCAA